rnacentral:misc_RNA from 1 species
GAACUUGAGGGGCGCAUUUUGAAGUAAAUUUCUAUUUAUAUUCUCCUCCUUUAUUUUUACCCCCUUUUUUAUGUAAAAAAGUUUUUGUUUGGUAUUUUGAUAGUAUUAAAAUAACAUGAUGUAAGAUAAGUCUCCCAUGUAAAGGAUUUUGGAUGAUGAUACCAUAAUUGGCAGCUAUACUAGAUGUUGCACUUUUUUGUCCAAAUAAACAAUUAAAUUAAUAAACUAACUGUUGCAUCUGAUGGGUUUCCAUUUGACAAGCUGGUUAUCUGUUGCGUAUAAUCUGCUUUAGACAACUAGGAUUUGUGGU